rnacentral:rRNA from 1 species
AUUCCAGCUCCAAUAGCGUAUAUUAAAGUUGUUGCAGUUAAAAAGCUCGUAGUUGGAUUUGUGGCGUAUGGUGUGUUCCGGGCACUUGUUGUCUGAGUAACCUGCUGUUGCCAUCCUUGGGUGGAACCUGUGUGGCAUUAGGUUGUCGUGCAGGGGAUGCCCAUCAUUUACUGUGAAAAAAUUAGAGUGUUCAAAGCAGGCUUAUGCCGUUGAAUAUAUUAGCAUGGAAUAAUGAGAUAGGACUUUUUUACUAUUUUGUUGGUUUGCGUAAAGAGGUAAUGAUUAAUAGGGACAGUUGGGGGUAUUCGUAUUCCAUUGUCAGAGGUGAAAUUCUUGGAUUUUUGGAAGACGAACUACUGCGAAAGCAUUUACCAAGGAUGUUUUC